UACGUAGGUGGCAAGCGUUGUCCGGAUUUACUGGGCGUAAAGAGCGCGCAGGCGGUCGUACAAGUCGCGUGUGAAAGCCCCCGGCUCAACUGGGGAGGGUCACGCGAUACUGUUCGACUCGAGGACGGUAGAGGGGGGUGGAAUUCCCGGUGUAGUGGUGAAAUGCGUAGAGAUCGGGAGGAACACCUGUGGCGAAGGCGGCCCCCUGGGCCGGCCCUGACACUGAGACGCGAAGGCGUGGGGAGCGAACGGG
rnacentral:rRNA from 1 species